AUUGACGGACUGAAGGCUCUUUCUCGAUUCCGUGGAAAGUGGUGCAUGGUCCGUUUUUGGUUGGUGGAUCGAUCCGUCUGGUUAAUUCCGUUAACGAACGAGACCUCGGCACUCCGAAUAGCGCGGCGGACGUCGCGGCCUCCGGGCCGUCUUCCGCACGAGCUUCUUAGAGGGACCGUCCCCCGCCGGGGAAGGAGGUGCGAGGCAACGACAGGUCUGUGAUGCCCUUAGAUGUUCUGGGCCGCACGCGCAUUACACUGACGCGUCCAACGGGUGACUCCCGACCCGAAGGGGCCGGGGAAUCCGCAAGGCGCGUCGUGAUGGGGAUUGAACGUUGCAAUUGUUGUUCACGAACGAGGAAUUCCUAGUAGGCGCGGGUCAUCAACCCGCGCCGAUUACGUCCCUGCCCUUUGUACACACCGCC
rnacentral:rRNA from 1 species